GCGAGGCCAUGGGGGAAAAAGUCUAACUGGCGGAACUCCUGGGAACUGGGGCGAUGGGCUCUUAGUAUCGGAGGAUUGGAGCCAUCUGAUUUUUACCUGAAAUUCCUUAGUCUCUCCUGUGUUGGGGAAAUGAGACCGGGACUUGCUGUGUUGCCCAGGCUGGUCUUGAACUCCUGGUCUUAAGCAAUCAUACUGCUUUGGCCACCCAAAGCACUGGGAUUACAGGCGUGAACCACCACACCCAGCUCUUAAAACCACAGUAUUUCUAGCCCCGCAGCAGUUCCCGAGACCUUGUGCCUCCUUCCCCGACGCCGCCUGCUCACCGGUGCCCUCGGGCAGGCUCAGGAUGUCCUCGCCCUGCACCCAGCGGUAGCACGGGAAGGCCACCUCCGCGCAGGCUCCAGGGCCCUGCACCGUGAUGCGGUCGCAGAACCACGCGUCGUCCACCAGCCAGUGGUGCUUGCGCAGCCUCACGAACUGCAGGAGCCCCAAGUCCUCUGCAACGUCAUGAUCAAACUCCUCCUCCUGUGCAGGCCGGACCCAGGCCAGACUUAGUAGGAGGGACCCGACUGAGGCCGUUUCGAGGACAGAGCCGCGCUCCUGUGCAACCUCAGUUUCUCAGGGCCUCCAAAGACAGCAUCGCCUCGUUCCCGCCCCCGCACAACCUGCUCUUUGGGUCUCAGACGCCCGGAGUCGGGUGGAGGACGAGGGCCCGCAGCGCCUGGAGCUGAUGCUGGAGCAGCAUCGCCCACGUGGGUCCCAUUAACUGAGCUCUCCCCGCGCCGGUUCUUGGAGGAGCUUCACGUCUGACCUCUGGCCUCAUACUUACAUUGGCUCUGGGUCACUGGGAGAAGGAGCUGGGGGCUGCCGGGACCAGGGGCGGGAAAGGGAGAUGGGGUUGAGCCCAGCCCGGGAUCCCAGCUGCGGACCCUGUCCCUAAUCUUGCCCACCUCGUCCCAGCUUCGUGGAAGUCCCAGUCCGCGAGGUCGCGCUGUCACCUCGCCCCCAGCCUCCCGCCCUCCCGCCGCGAGCCCAGCUCGGCCCGGGCCUGGGCCCGGGGUCCCCGCUGCCCUAGCUCCCCUCGCUCCCCGCGCUGAC
rnacentral:lncRNA from 1 species